GAUGCCCGAUGGAAACCCUAAUUCUGCAUCCCCGCGUCGUUACAGACGCGCAUUCCUCGUUCGCCAUCGCAACCAACCCAUUUUCUGAAUUAGUUUUUUCGACACUAUUGCAGCCCUUUCCACAUGGUUAGCGUUAUCCUGAAAAUAGGACGACCCACACUCCAGGACGCAUCUCGUCUAUCUUCGGUAUAUUGACUCUUCCGCAUCAGUUAUUUUAGCUCUCCACCAUUGCGUGCACAGCGUGUCAGAUUCCACUGGAGCUACUCCGUCGUGGAAGCCAACGCCAGGGCGAAGCUUGUCCACGGACAUGAACAGGACGAUAGGAAAUCAAAGCGAUGCACUGGAAAGCCUCGGAGUGACGCAGACACCUUCAAACAGAGCCUUCUUCCAUUGGGGGUGAAAGAGAGCAUCACGUCAAGCCUUACGAUUACUGCAUGUUUGCACAUCGUGGAUUGGAGUUUCGAGUGCACGCCACCGGACCCUGCCUCUCAGUAGUGAAGUGAAAAAAGGGCCGCAAUGGUCAUAGCUACUCGUGGACUACACCUUUUGAAGCAUUUAGAUGGCCUCUAGUUUAGUAGCUAUCCCAAUCGAUGCUUUUGGCGUGGUUUCAUGUGUGGUCCUGGUGGAACAUCUCUCAGACCUUGAUUUUGUAUUUGUUUAUUUUGGUAUGUCUCACGAUAACUAAGAAGUUUCAGUGCAAGGAGAUGAGAAUCUGCAGCAUGGUGUCAUGGAUUGACUACUGGUUACCGUGGUAAUCAAGCGGUAAUGUCUAUCCUGGUGCUAAUCACAGACCUCUCUGGUCAUUUGUGAUAAUACACAUUUACGAACCGAAUGGCUGAGGCCUCUUCGAACAAAUGACAAGCCAUGAGAAACUUACUUCUUAGGCGGACAAGAGUUUCAUGGGAGAUGAAGGAGAGCUUCAUACUGUUGCUUUGCCAAGGUUCACUCCGUGUUCGCUUGCCUGGGGUUGCCCUUUCAAGGAAGAGCUGAUUCGUGCGAACGCAACAUCUCGAAAUUCUCACAUGGGUGUGUUCGGUAGUUUUCAUGUGGAAAAUUGUUUCAACAAUCAAUUUUCACGUUGUUUCGAAUCUUGGCGCAGGUGAGGUCUUUUUUUGGGUUGAAUAAAAAAUAUUUAAUUAUCUAGAAAGAUUUUUUUUACAUUCGCUUUGUGAAUUCAUUCUUUUUAUUUAAAGACAUAUGCCAUUGCAUCAAUAAAAACUACCAUGUUCCCUACUCA